CAGCAGCCGCGGUAAUACGAAGGGGGCUAGCGUUGUUCGGAUUUACUGGGCGUAAAGCGCACGUAGGCGGAUCGAUCAGUCAGGGGUGAAAUCCCAGAGCUCAACUCUGGAACUGCCUUUGAUACUGUCGAUCUGGAGUAUGGAAGAGGUGAGUGGAAUUCCGAGUGUAGAGGUGAAAUUCGUAGAUAUUUGGAGGAACACCAGUGGCGAAGGCGGCUCACUGGUCCAUUACUGACGCUGAGGUGCGAAAGCGUGGGGAGCAAACAGGAUUAGAUACCCGUGUAGUCCCUGUCUCUUAUAC
rnacentral:rRNA from 1 species